rnacentral:rRNA from 1 species
GGUGAACGCUGGCGGCAUGCCUUACACAUGCAAGUCGAACGGUAACAGGGAGCUUGCUCCGCUGACGAGUGGCGAACGGGUGAGUAAUGUAUCGGAACGUACCAUUCAGUGGGGGAUAACGUAGCGAAAGUUACGCUAAUACCGCAUAUUCUGUGAGCAGGAAAGCAGGGGAUCGCAAGACCUUGCGCUGAUUGAGCGGCCGAUAUCAGAUUAGCUAGUUGGUGAGGUAAAGGCUCACCAAGGCGACGAUCUGUAGCGGGUCUGAGAGGAUGAUCCGCCACACUGGAACUGAGACACGGUCCAGACUCCUACGGGAGGCAGCAGUGGGGAAUUUUGGACAAUGGGGGCAACCCUGAUCCAGCCAUGCCGCGUGAGUGAAGAAGGCCUCGGUGUAAGACUCUUCGCCGGAAAAGUACGUAUGGUUAAUAACCUGUGUCGGAGUGACGGUACCGGCCGAUAAGAAGACACCGGCUAACUAACGUGCCAGCACG